rnacentral:rRNA from 1 species
GUCGAGAAUUUUUCACAAUGGGCGCAAGCCUGAUGGAGCGACGCCGCGUGGGGGAUGAAUGGCUUCGGCCCGUAAACCCCUGUCAUUUGCGAACAAAUCUCACGGUUGAAUAGACCGUGAGUUGAUAGUAGCGAAAGAGGAAGGGACGGCUAACUCUGUGCCAGCAGCCGCGGUAAUACAGAGGUCCCGAGCGUUGUUCGGAUUCACUGGGCGUAAAGGGUGCGUAGGCGGUCGGGUAAGUCUGAUGUGAAAUCUCGGAGCUCAACUCCGAAACGGCAUUGGAUACUAUUCGGCUCGAGGUUGGGAGGGGGGACUGGAAUUCUCGGUGUAGCAGUGAAAUGCGUAGAUAUCGAGAGGAACACCAGUGGCGAAGGCGAGUCCCUGGACCAAUCCUGACGCUGAGGCACGAAAGCCAGGGGAGCAAACGGGAUUAGAAACCCGGGUAGUCC